CAUCAACGCUGGCGGCGUGCCUCAGACAUGCAAGUCGAACGAUUAAGACUUCCUUCGGGAAGUGUAUAAAGUGGCGCACGGGUGAGUAACACGUAAGUAAUCUGCCUUCGAGUGGGGAAUACCUUCGGGAAACCGAAGAUAAUACCGCAUAAUGCAGCGGCACCGCAAGGUGACAGUUGUUAAAGGAGCAAUCCGCUUGAAGAGGAGCUUGCGGCAGAUUAGCUAGUUGGUAAGGUAAUGGCUUACCAAGGCUACGAUCUGUAUCCGGUCUAAGAGGACGGUCGGACACACUGACACUGAAUAACGGGUCAGACUCCUACGGGAGGCAGCAGUCGGGAAUUUUGGGCAAUGGGCGAAAGCCUGACCCAGCAACGCCGCGUGAAGGAUGAAGUAUUUCGGGUAUGUAAACUUCGAAAGAAUGGGAAGAAUAAAUGACGGUACCAUUUAUAAGGUCCGGCUAACUACGUGCCAGCCGCCGCAGUAAC
rnacentral:rRNA from 1 species